rfam:Brachypodium distachyon strain Bd21 chromosome 4, whole genome shotgun sequence.
UUAAUACUUCCUCCGUCCAACAAAGGAUGUCUCAACUUUGACUAAAUUUAAAUGCAUCUAUAAACUAAGACAUGUCUAUAUACAUUUAAAUUUUGACAAACCUAAGACAUAUUUUGUUAGACGGAGGAAGUAGUAU